CUAGAAGAAGAUAGUUCCACCAAUUACAUUGAUUAACAUGAAAUAAAGAUAACUUUGAGAAAGAAAUAAACAAUUAGACAAUGACAAUAGGGAAGAGGGAUUCAGCAACGAGGGUUCCUGCUGGAGAAGAAUUCCUCCAAGAGCUUCCUCGCCCCUUCAACAACUUCAACACAUGGGAUCGUUCUAUGUUCGAAGACUUGCAAGUUACGCGCCAACCAGAUCUUCCAUAAGGUGAUUGCAGCAAGGCUCCGUCUUUGUUUUUCUUGGGUUCCACCACCGCUUUGCAUUACUAUCUCCCUCCACCAUUUCCAUAACACUGUAGUAUUUUCAGGACACUGGGAAUUCACAUUCGAAAACCUGGACUGCAGCUUGAGUUUAACUGGGAGUCCUCCAUGAAUAGCUUUCCACAGAAAUACCUUCACCUUUGCUGGAGAAUGUAAGGACCAGAUCGAUUGCCACACAUCUUUUUGCUUGAAGACUUCCGGGAGGAACUUUAUUGGAACUCUAUUGGCGAAUGAAAAAAUUGGAAUGCAAUUCGGUAUCCUGAGUUCACUUUGAGUUUGAAGCGGGAGAAGAAGCACAAACACUUCCAUAGUGAGUGAUAGAGAUUGAGUUCUCCUCCUUCCUCGAGCAGAAGGAGGAAGAAGAAGAUUCUAGAGAGAGAGAGAGAGAGAAUCGAUGUCAGACCUAGACAGGCAAAUAGAGCAGCUGAAGAAAUGCGAACCUCUCAAAGAGUCCGAAGUGAAAGCUCUCUGCCUCAAAGCCAUGGAAAUCCUCGUCGAAGAGAGCAACGUUCACCGCGUCGACGCCCCCCGUCACCUUCACUUCCACAUCCUCCUCCACCCCUGAUGGAUCUCAGCCAAUGCCUGCCGCCACUGAUGGAGCUCAGCCAAUACCUGCCGCCGACAAUGAUGAAGGUCCUCAUCAGCCAUUACCUGCCACCACUGAUGGAGCUCAGGCAAUGCCUGGCACCAAUGACGGUCCAAUGCCUGGGACUACUGAUGAUGAUGGUCCUCGUGAGCCAAUGCCUGCCACCACCUUGGUGGUGUGGAUGUGGCAGUGGCUGGUAAAAGGUGCAUUCCACCACCUCUUAGAUAGAGGUUAUAUUUACUAGUGCUGCUUCUCUAUAUCUAUAUCUGUAAAUAACAGCACUUUUAUAGAAUAUAAGUAGGUGUUGUCUAUAGUGCUUAGUUGUGUUAUGGUGCUUAGUUGAGUUCCGUGCUUAAGUGUGGCUAUACCAAGUUCACCAGUAAAUUGAUUAAAUUGUAUUUUUAUCAAAAUAUGUAUGUAAAUAACAGCAUUUUUAUAGAAUAUAAGUAUUGUUUACAAUAGAAAGGAAUCAUCA